rnacentral:rRNA from 1 species
GAUGAACGCUGGCGGCGUGCCUAAUACAUGCAAGUCGAGCGAACGGACGAGAAGCUUGCUUCUCUGAUGUUAGCGGCGGACGGGUGAGUAACACGUGGAUAACCGACCUAUAAGACUGGGAUAACUUCGGGAAACCGGAGCUAAUACCGGAUGAUAUUUUGAACCGCAUGGUUCAAAAGUGAAAGACGGUCUUGCUGUCACUUAUAGAUGGAUCCGCGCUGCAUUAGCUAGUUGGUAAGGUAACGGCUUACCAAGGCAACGAUGCAUAGCCGACCUGAGAGGGUGAUCGGCCACACUGGAACUGAGACACGGUCCAGACUCCUACGGGAGGCCGCAGUAGGGAAUCUUCCGCAAUGGGCGAAAGCCUGACGGAGCAACGCCGCGUGAGUGAUGAAGGUCUUCGGAUCGUAAAACUCUGUUAUUAGGGAAGAACAUAUGUGUAAGUAACUGUGCACAUCUUGACGGUACCUAAUCAGAAAGCCACGGCUAACUACGUG